UACGUAGGGUGCAAGCGUUGUCCGGAAUUAUUGGGCGUAAAGAGCUCGUAGGCGGUCUGUCGCGUCGGCUGUGAAAACUCGGGGCUCAACUCCGAGCUUGCAGUCGAUACGGGCAGGCUGGAGGCAGGCAGGGGAGAACGGAAUUCCCGGUGUAGCGGUGAAAUGCGCAGAUAUCGGGAGGAACACCGGUGGCGAAGGCGGUUCUCUGGGCCUUACCUGACGCUGAGGAGCGAAAGCGUGGGGAGCGAACAGG
rnacentral:rRNA from 1 species